rnacentral:misc_RNA from 1 species
AAGUCGUAACAAGGUAUCCGUAGGUGAACCUGCGGAUGGAUCAUUAAGAGGUUAGCAAACAUCCGUUUGACAAACCACUGUGGUACGAUGCAUGUUGUUUUGGCGGCGUGGUGUGCGUGCAAGCGCGCAUGCGCCGCCAGCAUACAAACCCAAUCAACAAUUUUAUACUACUCAGCUGUUCUGAUUACACUAUUUCGAUAGCAUAAUCCUAUACAACUGCUAGCAACGGAUCACUCGGCUCUC